rnacentral:rRNA from 1 species
UCGAGUGGCGGACGGGUGAGUAACGCGUGGGAAUCUACCCUUUAGUUGGGGACAACAUAUGGAAACGUAUGCUAAUACCGAAUAUGCUCUACGGAGUAAAGGUGCCCUCUCCUUGGAAGGUAUCGCUAAAGGAUGAGCCCGCGUUAGAUUAGCUAGUUGGUAAGGUAAAGGCUUACCAAGGCGACGAUCUAUAGCUGGUUUGAGAGGAUGAUCAGCCACACUGGGACUGAGACACGGCCCAGACUCCUACGGGAGGCAGCAGUGGGGAAUAUUGCACAAUGAGGGAAACCUUGAUGCAGCCAUGCCGCGUGUGUGAAGAAGGCCCGAGGGUUGUAAAGCACUUUCAAUUGUGAGGAAGAUUAAGUAGCUAAUACCUGCUUAGUUUGACGUUAACUUUAGAAGAAGCACCGGCUAACUCUGUGCCAGCAGCCGCGGUAAUACAGAGGGUGCAAGCGUUAUUCGGAAUUACUGGGCGUAAAGCGCGCGUAGGCGGACUGUUAAGUCGGUUGUGAAAGCCCUGGGCUCAACCUAGGAACUGCAUCCGAUACUGGCAAUCUAGAGUUUAAGAGAGGGAAGUGGAAUUCCAGGUGUAGCAGUGAAAUGCGUAGAUAUCUGGAGGAACA